AUAACCUUGUAGUUUAAUAAGAACGUUAGAAUGCAAUUCUACUAGUGGGGCUACCCUAAGGUUUA
rnacentral:tRNA from 1 species